CCUCGUAAAAUCGACGUAAAUUUACGAGGAUUGUUUUUCUUCGUUAAAUUUCCUCGCUAAGUAUGUGUUUUCUUGUAGUGUAGUAUCAAAUGGUGAUUUAUUUAUGUUUUUAAAAAUCAUAUUUUUUAACUGAACUAGAAUAAAACUAGAAAAAUCAACUCGGUUGAACUGAAAAUACAAAUAAAACCAAUUAAACCCAACCAAAAACAAACCAAACAAAACUAAAACCGAACAGAAAUCAAAACCUAACC
rnacentral:lncRNA from 1 species